GGUGAACGCUGGCGGUAGGCCUAACACAUGCAAGUCGAACGGCAGCACAGUAAGAGCUUGCUCUUACGGGUGGCGAGUGGCGGACGGGUGAGGAAUACAUCGGAAUCUACUUUUUCGUGGGGGAUAACGUAGGGAAACUUACGCUAAUACCGCAUACGACCUACGGGUGAAAGCAGGGGAUCUUCGGACCUUGCGCGAUUGAAUGAGCCGAUGUCGGAUUAGCUAGUUGGCGGGGUAAAGGCCCACCAAGGCGACGAUCCGUAGCUGGUCUGAGAGGAUGAUCAGCCACACUGGAACUGAGACACGGUCCAGACUCCUACGGGAGGCAACAGUGGGGAAUAUUGGACAAUGGGCGCAAGCCUGAUCCAGCCAUACCGCGUGGGUGAAGAAGGCCUUCGGGUUGUAAAGCCCUUUUGUUGGGAAAGAAAAGCAGCAGGUUAAUACCCCGCUGUUCUGACGGUACCCAAAGAAUAAGCACCGGCUAACUUCGUG
rnacentral:rRNA from 1 species